UACGAAGGGUGCAAGCGUUGUCCGGAAUCAUUGGGCGUAAAGCGCGUGUAGGCGGCUUGGUGUGUCCGGUGUGAAACCUUGGGGCUCAACCCCAAGCCUGCACCGGAUACUGCCUCGCUUGAGUCCGGGAGGGGAGAGCGGAAUUCCUAGUGUAGAGGUGAAAUUCGUAGAUAUUCGGAAGAACACCAGUGGCGAAGGCGACUUACUGGACACAUAUUGACGCUGAGGUGCGAAAGCGUGGGGAGCAAACAGG
rnacentral:rRNA from 1 species